CCUACGGGAGGCAGCAGUGGGGAAUAUUGGACAAUGGGGGGAACCCUGAUCCAGCCAUGCCGCGUGUGUGAAGAAGGCCCUCGGGUUGUAAAGCACUUUCAGUGAGGAAGAACGCCUGGUGGUUAAUACCCAUCAGGAAAGACAUCACUCACAGAAGAAGCACCGGCUAACUCCGUGCCAGCAGCCGCGGUAAUACGGAGGGUGCGAGCGUUAAUCGGAAUUACUGGGCGUAAAGCGCGCGUAGGUGGCUUGAUAAGCCGGUUGUGAAAGCCCCGGGCUCAGCCUGGGAACGGCAUCCGGAACUGUCAAGCUAGAGUGCAGGAGAGGAAGGUAGAAUUCCCGGUGUAGCGGUGAAAUGCGUAGAGAUCGGGAGGAAUACCAGUGGCGAAGGCGGCCUUCUGGACUGACACUGACACUGAGGUGCGAAAGCGUGGGUAGCAAACAGGAUUAGAUACCCUAGUAGUC
rnacentral:rRNA from 1 species